rnacentral:rRNA from 1 species
AGCGAACGCUGGCGGCAGGCUUAACACAUGCAAGUCGAGCGGGCAUCCUUGUGGUGUCAGCGGCAGACGGGUGAGUAACGCGUGGGAACGUGCCCUUCGGUUCGGAAUAACUCAGGGAAACUUGAGCUAAUACCGGAUACGUGCGAGAGCAGAAAGGUUUAUCUGCCGAAGGAUCGGCCCGCGUCUGAUUAGCUAGUUGGUGAGGUUAUGGCUCACCAAGGCGACGAUCAGUAGCUGGUCUGAGAGGAUGAUCAGCCACACUGGGACUGAGACACGGCCCAGACUCCUAGGGGAGGCAGCAGUGGGGAAUAUUGGACAAUGGGGGCAAACCUGGUCCAGCCAUGCCGGGUGAGUGAUGACGGCCUUAGGGUUGUAAAGCUCUUUUUUGCGGGACGAUAAUGACGGUACCGGAGGAAUAAGCCCCGGCUAACUUCGUG